CGACAUCCACCUGCUGCGGGCUGAUAAAGUGAAUAUGGCUGUCAAUGCCUCCCGCAGUCACAAUGGUGUUUUCGCCCGCGAUGACCUCCGUACUCGCACCAAUGACCAUACCUUUUGUGACGCCGUCCAUCGUCAAGGGAUUCCCUGCUUUGCCAAUGCCGACGAUGUACCCGUCUUUGAUACCAAUAUCCGCCUUCACAAUGCCCCACGUGUCAAGAAUCACCGCAUUCGUAAUGACGGUAUCCAACACGUCCUCCAGCCUCGUCGCAUACGGGUGCUGCCCCAUGCCAUCG
rnacentral:sRNA from 1 species